rnacentral:lncRNA from 1 species
CUACUAUAUUCUUAUGAGUAUUAACCCAUUUGUACUCAUAAGUUUUCCACCGUGGGAUGAAGAGAUAUACGAUUAGGAUGAUAGUGAUCCCCGGUUAAGAUGAUAGUGGUCCCCUAGGGUUGAGUGAGUGGUUGGUUGAAUAUUAUGAUUUAACGGUAGAAAUAAUCAGAGGGGUAGAUCUAACGGCUGAAAAUUUAUGAAUACAAAAGACAUAUACUUUAUUAGUAGUCGGACUCUAUGGCACUG